rnacentral:rRNA from 1 species
UGCGUAGGCGGGUUCUUAAGUUAGAGGUGAAAGCCUGGAGCUCAACUCCAGAACUGCCUUUAAUACUGGGAAUCUUGGGUUCGGAAGAGGUGAGUGGAACUGCGAGUGUAGAGGUGAAAUUCGUAGAUAUUCGCAAGAACACCAGUGGCGAAGGCGGCUCACUGGUCCGAUACUGACGCUGAGGCACGAAAGCGUGGGGAGCAAACA